rnacentral:misc_RNA from 1 species
AUGGAACUGAGGUAGCUGUGAAGAGGUUUCUAGACCAGGACAUUUCUGGCGAAUCUCUUGAAGAAUUCAAAAGUGAGGUUCGAAUUAUGAAAAGGCUUCGGCAUCCGAAUGUUGUUCUCUUCAUGGGAGCUGUGACACGUGCUCCCCACCUUUCAAUUGUUACAGAAUUUCUUCCCAGAGGUAGCUUGUACAGGUUAAUUCACCGUCCCAACAAUCAAUUAGAUGAACGAAAGCGAUUGAGGAUGGCCCUUGAUGCAGCUCGGGGAAUGAAUUAUUUGCACAAUUG